CUACGUGCCAGCAGCCGCGGUAAUACGUAGGGCGCGAGCGUUGUCCGGAAUUAUUGGGCAUAAAGGGCAUCUAGGCGGUCAGAUAAGUCUGGGGUGAAAACUUGCGGCUCAACCGCAAGCCUGCCCUGGAAACUAUGUGGCUAGAGUACUGGAGAGGUGGACGGAACUGCACGAGUAGAGGUGAAAUUCGUAGAUAUGUGCAGGAAUGCCGAUGAUGAAGAUAGUUCACUGGACGGUAACUGACGCUGAAGUGCGAAAGCUAGGGGAGCAAACAGGAUUAGAUACCCUGGUAGUCCUAGCUGUAAACGAUGAUUACUGGGUGUGGGCAUGAAGAGUGUCCGUGCCGAAGCUAAUGCGAUAAGUAAUCCGCCUGGGGAGUACGGCCGCAAGGCUGAAACUCAAAGGAAUUGACGGGGACCCGCACAAGCGGUGGAGCAUGUGGUUUAAUUCGACGCAACGCGAGGAACCUUACCAGAUCUUGACAUCCUG
rnacentral:rRNA from 1 species